GUCGUUCAUAGCUACACAAUCGUCUGACCUCUAUAGAUGGGCCAUACGAAGUCCUUGGACCGAUCAACCCUCCGUGAGAGUGCUAGCUCGCACAGUCAGCUUCUGAUGGUAGAUCUAAAUUGAUCUCUUCCUUUGAUUACCUCAAAUUUUUUUGAUAUCGAAGAUAGAUCAAAGAGGAUAUUGGAUGGUGGAAAAAAGUAUGAUGAAAACUCUCUUCUCUUUGA
rnacentral:lncRNA from 1 species